rnacentral:rRNA from 1 species
GCAUAUCAAUAAGCGGAGGAAAAGAAACCAACAGGGAUUGCCCUAGUAACGGCGAGUGAAGCGGCAACAGCUCAAAUUUGAAAUCUGGCGCAAGCCCGAGUUGUAAUUUGUAGAGGAUGUUUCUGGCGACGUGCCUUCCGAGUUCCCUGGAACGGGACGCCAUAGAGGGUGAGAGCCCCGUACGGUUGGAUGCCUAGCCUCUGUGAAACUCCUUCGACGAGUCGAGUAGUUUGGGAAUGCUGCUCUAAAUGGGAGGUAUACGUCUUCUAAAGCUAAAUACCGGCCAGAGACCGAUAGCGCACAAGUAGAGUGAUCGAAAGAUGAAAAGCACUUUGAAAAGAGGGUUAAAAAGUACGUGAAAUUGUUGAAAGGGAAGCGUUCAUGACCAGACUUGGGCAGGUUGAUCAUCCGUGGUUCUCCGCGGUGCACUCUGCCUGCCCAGGCCAGCAUCAGUUCGCCCCGGGGGAUAAAGGCUUUGGGAAUGUGGCUCCCUCGGGAGUGUUAUAGCCCACUGUGUAAUACCCUGGGGUGGACUGAGGUUCGCGCUCUGCAAGGAUGCUGGCGUAAUGGUCAUCAACGACCCGUCUUGAAACACGGACCAAGGAGUCGUCUUCGUAUGCGAGUGUUCGGGUGUCAAACCCCUACGCGUAAUGAAAGUGAACGUAGGAGAGAGCUUCGGCGCAUCUCCGACCGAUCCUGAUGUUCUCGGAUGGAUUUGAGUAAGAGCAUACGGGGCCGGACCCGAAAGAAGGUGAACUAUGCCUGUAUAGGGUGAAGCCAGAGGAAACUCUGGUGGAGGCUCGCAGCGGUUCUGACGUGCAAAUCGAUCGUCAAAUAUGGGCAUGGGGGCGAAAGACUAAUCGAACCUUCUAGUAGCUGGUUUCCGCCGAA